UACGUAGGGUGCGAGCGUUGUCCGGAAUUAUUGGGCGUAAAGGGCUCGUAGGCGGUUUGUCGCGUCGGGAGUGAAAACUCAGGGCUUAACUCUGAGCCUGCUUCCGAUACGGGCAGACUAGAGGUAUGCAGGGGAGAACGGAAUUCCUGGUGUAGCGGUGAAAUGCGCAGAUAUCAGGAGGAACACCGGUGGCGAAGGCGGUUCUCUGGGAAUGUCCUGACGCUGAGGAGCGAAAGUGUGGGGAGCGAACAGG
rnacentral:rRNA from 1 species